CAUUUCCUUAUGUUCGCAAGUGUUUUUGUAAUCAGUUUCGUAGUUCUGUGAUGUCGUCAGCUCCCAUAACAAAACAUAAUGUUGGGGAAAAUGAUGAUGCUGCUGGGGCAAAAUAAGCAAUAGUAGAGUAUUUAGCUCUACUGACGCCUCGAAAUUUAUUCAUUUAUUUUUGCGAAUUUGAUUGUAGGUUUGGCAUAUCGGUCAACUCAAUCAACUGGAACGUUGCAAAAUAUAGUUCUGUUUUUCGGCGAACUAUAAUUCAAGGUGAACCCCUUAGGUUGAAGGUUCUCAAGCUUCAGACUACACUGAAAUGACAUCUGUGCCAGUAAACUGAUUAGAAGAAACAUGGUUCUAAAGCGUCUUUUGUUCAGCUUGCUUAAUCACGCGCAAGUGAUCGAGAAACUUUCGGAGUCUCGCCCGAUCAGACGAGCGGCACAAAUCACAGCUUUCGCCAUAAUCAAGGCACGAAUCGCUGGCAAGGAUGCAACGACCAGACUACUGAAGUCGGACACCGUUCGCCAAAUUCGCCAGGAAACUUCCGGGGUGUCAAAGGACAUUGGAGAGAUGGGAAGGAAAGCCGAAAGAGUUCGGCAGACAUUUGUUAAAGAGGUUAAAGAAGGUGUGAGAGACGCUUCG